UACGUAGGGGGCAAGCGUUGUCCGGAUUUAUUGGGCGUAAAGAGCGUGUAGGCGGCCAGGUAGGUCUGCUGUGAAAACUCGAGGCUUAACCUCGAGCUGUCGGCGGAAACCAUCUGGCUAGAGUCCGGAAGAGGAGAAUGGAAUUUACGGUGUAGCGGUGAAAUGCGUAGAUAUCGUAAGGAAGACCAGUGGCGAAGGCGGGUCUCUGGACAGUUCCUGACGCUGAGGCACGAAGGUCAGGGGAGCAAACGGG
rnacentral:rRNA from 1 species